UAGGGAAUAUUGCGCAAUGGGCGAAAGCCUGACGCAGCAAUGCCGCGUGAGGGAGGACGGUCUUCGGAUUGUAAACCUCUGUCAGGAGGGAAAAAUUGUUUAAUCGCUAAUAUCGGUUAAGUUUGAUGGUACCUCCAGAGGAAGCACCGGCUAACUCCGUGCCAGCAGCCGCGGUAAUACGGAGGGUGCAAACGUUGUUCGGAUUUAUUGGGCGUAAAGCGCGCGCAGGCGGAUAUCCAAGUCAGGUGUGAAAUCUCGGGGCUUAACCCCGAAACUGCGCCUGAAACUGUUUAUCUAGAAUCUCGGAGGGGGAUGGGGGAAUUUCUCAUGUAGGGGUAAAAUCCGUAGAG
rnacentral:rRNA from 1 species